GACGAACGCUGGCGGCGUGCUUAACACAUGCAAGUCGAACGGAAAGGCCCUGCUUUUGUGGGUGCUCGAGUGGCGAACGGGUGAGUAACACGUGAGUAACCUGCCCUUGACUUUGGGAUAACUUCAGGAAACUGGGGCUAAUACCGGAUAGGAGCUCCUGCUGCAUGGGGGGGGUUGGAAAGUUUCGGCGGUUGGGGAUGGACUCGCGGCUUAUCAGCUUGUUGGUGGGGUAGUGGCUUACCAAGGCUUUGACGGGUAGCCGGCCUGAGAGGGUGACCGGCCACAUUGGGACUGAGAUACGGCCCAGACUCCUACGGGAGGCAGCAGUGGGGAAUAUUGCACAAUGGGCGGAAGCCUGAUGCAGCAACGCCGCGUGCGGGAUGACGGCCUUCGGGUUGUAAACCGCUUUCGCCUGUGACGAAGCGUGAGUGACGGUAAUGGGUAAAGAAGCACCGGCUAACUACGUG
rnacentral:rRNA from 1 species